GUUUACCUGAGCUGAGGGAGCACCUGCCCAGCAAAGCUGCUGAGAAAAGACGCUCCUGGGUGCAUGCUGACGAUAAAGCAGAAGUUAAGGAAGCCCUGGAGUCUGCAGGAAACAAGACUAAGUUUCCGGUUGGAAGGACCGGUGACCACACGGGCUGAGUUCCCAGAAGGGCGCCUGGUGUCCCCUUCAGCCCUGGAAGCUGGAGGCGGCGGCUUCUUUACCAACUGAGCUGUGAGGGAGGCACAGUACCACAAUUCUGAGAACUGGUCUCAAGUUUGGAACAAACUGACGCUGGAACUGAAGACUACCUGCCUAAAACAAGGUGAUGCUGGUCAGACCACUGAUGACAGCUUUCGAGAUGCCUGUGCUGUUUCUGCACGGAGCCCCCUCCCGAGGUCUAUAAAGGCAUUUGAGCACUGAUUGUCUUCCCUGUGGCUCAGAAGGUGAAGAAUCCACCUACGAUGCAGGACACCCAGGUUCAAUCCCUGGGUCAGGAAGAUCCCCUGGAGAAGGGCAUGGCAACCCACUCCAGUAUUCUUGCCUGAGGAAUCCCAUGGAUGGAGGAACCUGGAGGGCUACAGUCUAUGGGGUCGCAAAGAGUGGGACACGCCUGAGUGACACACACUCGUCAGUGGGGAGAUGGCCUUUGAGCAGGAAUCUGGCCUCCUCCCCCGUCCCCGGUCUCUGAAGUGAAGCAGAUGUUCCUUUCCCACCAACCUGGCCCCUCGAGCACUGGCUGUGGCGCGUGAGCAGCCAGCCCCAGCUUUUGGUAACACCAGCAGGACGUUUCCCCCAGUGGCUCUCUAUCCCCGGCUCUCGGGGCCACUGCGCUCCUCAGGGAGGCUGUGCCCUGUGUGACAGCGAGGUGCCGCCCGCACCGGGCCCGGGUCAUCGGGCGGACGGGGCCCCAGGAUGGCAGUUCUGACGGCCGGGCGUGCAGAGGACUGGCGGAAGCCGGGGAGCAGCCUGACCCGGACGGCAGGGCCACAGCCAGGACCAGCCUUGCCACCGCGUCCGAGACGGCUCACAGGCCUGGCGCCCCCACACGCGACGGGGAGGCGGGCGGGGCCCCAACAGUCCCGUCCUUCCCCAGGAGGCGGCUGCCGGGUGCUGGCCCUGGGCCUGGGCAUUUCCACGGUGCCAUCCGAGCUGGUGCCCAAAACUGCACCAGAGACAGUUUUGAAGCCCCUGCCUUCCUGAUGCUAGACGUUUGUUCUGCUUUCAACUUGCCUGAUUCACGUGUUUGAGGUGAGGGUUCCCCCCCUUUUUUUUUUUUUUUAAUCUACUUUAUUACGUAAUGAGUAAUAUUUUUGAAGAUAUACAUAAUUUGAUUUAAUUUUUUUAACUUUUCAUCUUGUUUAAAAAUAAAACAGUAUAGCUGAUUAAUGAUGCUGUGAUGGUUUCAGGUGGGCAGGGAAGGGACUUGGCGUAUAUGCGCCUGUAUCCGUUCCCCCCACACCCCCUCCCAGCCAGGCUGCUUCCAGCAGCGAGCACUUCCCUGUGCUCUGCGGUAGGGGCUUGUCGGUCACCUGUGUUACGUACAGCGGAGUGUGCACGUCCAUCCCAGACUCCCUAACUUUCCCUUCCCCAGGUGGGUUUCUGUAGGCAGCAGAGUUAACCCACUCUGCCAACGUCUUGUCUCCUCGCGGACAUGUUUAAUUAAACCUUUGACACGGACUGGUUCCUGAUCUGGGGCUCACAACUGCCUUUUUGUGCUGUUUUAUUUCCCUGGGUCCUUUGUCCCUGCC
ensembl:lncRNA